GCAAACUUGGUCAUUUAGAGGAAGUAAAAGUCGUAACAAGGUAACCGUAGGUGAACCUGCGGUUGGAUCAUUACCAACUGGUGUUUUUUGAAUGUGGCUUUUGGGCGCAUUCAAAAUCACUUUACCCCCUUUGUGAACUGUUUUCUGUAUCUUGGGCAGCCCUCCUUACGGGAAGGCAUGGACGCGAAGGAAAGACCUUGUGUUUCUCCUUUUGUGUCUGGCAUUCUUUGGGCUGCCUUACCAUGAUAUUUAUACACUUGUGUCCAACACUUGAUAGUCUCUAGGUUUCACUGUGCGUGUUCAACUGAGAAUUGAGCACAUGCUUUGGAGCUAACACAUGUAAAUGAUUUUAUUUACAACUUUUGACAACGGAUCUCUUGGCUCUCACAUCGAUGAAGAACGCAGC
rnacentral:misc_RNA from 1 species